GGAGGAGACCGGGUGGUCGCCCGCGGGCAGUUAGCCGCGGGAGGAAAGUCCGGACUCCAAGGGCAGGGUGCUGGGUAACGCCCAGGCGGAGCGAUCCGACACCGGCGCCACAGAGAAUAGACCGCCGAUGGCCGAGUCGAGGCGCGUGCAGGGGACGCAACGCACGACCUCAUCUCGGCUCAGGCAAGGGUGAAACGGCGGGGUAAGAGCCCACCGCGUCUCGUGGUGACAUGGACGGCACGGCAAGCGUCGCCCGGAGCAAGACCAAAUAGGAGGACGGCCGAGACGCGACUCGUUCUCGUCUCGGACGCGGCUGGCCCGGCCGAGGUCCUCGGGUAGGUCGCUUGAGGCUCGGGGUAACUCGAGCCCUAGAGAAAUGGCCGCCCCCGCCGUAGCGUCGCGCGAAGGCGGGACAGAAUCCGGCUUAUAGGUUUUCUCCAGCG
rfam:Nitrospirae bacterium 13_2_20CM_2_62_8 13_2_20cm_2_scaffold_248, whole genome shotgun sequence.